GAUGAACGCUGGCGGCGUGCCUAAUACAUGCAAGUCGAGCGAACAGACGAGGAGCUUGCUCCUCUGACGUUAGCGGCGGACGGGUGAGUAACACGUGGAUAACCUACCUAUAAGACUGGGGUAACUUCGGGAAACCGGAGCUAAUACCGGAUAAUAUAUUGAACCGCAUGGUUCAAUGGUGAAAGACGGUUUUGCUGUCACUUAUAGAUGGAUCCGCGCCGCAUUAGCUAGUUGGUAAGGUAACGGCUUACCAAGGCAACGAUGCGUAGCCGACCUGAGAGGGUGAUCGGCCACACUGGAACUGAGACACGGUCCAGACUCCUACGGGAGGCAGCAGUAGGGAAUCUUCCGCAAUGGGCGAAAGCCUGACGGAGCAACGCCGCGUGAGUGAUGAAGGUCUUCGGAUCGUAAAACUCUGUUAUUAGGGAAGAACAAAUGUGUAAGUAACUAUGCACGUCUUGACGGUACCUAAUCAGAAAGCCACGGCUAACUACGUG
rnacentral:rRNA from 1 species